ACACGAGUGAGACCAGCAUCUGGCUAAGAGAGCCAAGAGUUAGAAGACCCUCCGGAGCCACAGCCUGCAACAGAGCUCACCACGCAGGCUGAUCCAGUACCCGCCACCCCAUUACCGCGACAACCGAGGGCCUGGAGUGCCUCAAGGAUGGCGAGUUUCUCAACGACGUCAUCAUUGACUUCUACCUCAAGGCUCACUGGUACCUCAGGGUGAUCUGUUUUCCCGGUCUGGAAUGGCCUGAGUGUGUGCCGUGGAGAAACAAAGGCCUUGUGUCCCAGGAUGAGAGUCAGACAGCCAAAGCGAGCUCUGCAGGUCAGAGAAAACCAUUCCUGGUGGAAACAAGAUUCUGGAUGGAUUCCUGGAUACAGACUCCAAAAGUUGAGUUCUUGUAAUUAGACUAUUUGACCUUUUGAAAUAGUAAUAGUGCCAUCACUACAAAAAGCAGUUGAAGCAUAGUCCCCAUAAUGGAUUUAUUUAAUCCAUUAAAGAAAAAAAGAAAGAUUAUAAAAGCAUCCCUUUUUCCAGAUGUACUAGAGAACACAAGUGUAGAACACAC